CGCGGGGUGGAGCAGUCUGGUAGCUCGUCGGGCUCAUAACCCGAAGGUCGUCAGUUCAAAUCUGGCCCCCGCAACCA
rnacentral:tRNA from 7 species